rnacentral:rRNA from 1 species
UACGGAGGAUCCAAGCGUUAUCCGGAAUCAUUGGGUUUAAAGGGUCCGUAGGCGGCCUUAUAAGUCAGUGGUGAAAUCUCUGGGCUUAACCCAGAAAUUGCCAUUGAUACUGUAGGGCUUGAGUAUAGAUGCCGUUGGCGGAAUAUGACAUGUAGUGGUGAAAUACAUAGAGAUGUCAUAGAACACCGAUUGCGAAGGCAGCUAACGAAACUAUAACUGACACUGAGGCUCGAAAGUGUGGGGAUCAAACAGG